AAACAUAUACAAUCGGCAACUUUGGGACCAAUUCCUGGCAGAGUCAUCAGUUGUUCUCUAGCAACUUGUUUUAUUUAUCGCACAAGUAAAUUCAAAUCUGACCUGAAACUUUGACCACCAUGCAACGUAAGAGCAAGAUUCAAUUCUGUGCGUAAACAAGGGAUACUGCCUUGCUUCAUUCUCGUCUCGUAUAUCGUACCAUGCGGAGACUGCGUUAUAAAAUUUUAUAUCGAAACAAGAUAGACUUUUAUCACGUGGGUGAUAACGAAAGAGCGAAUUCUAGUCACAACAUUUCCACGCGCAUGCGACGCGCGAUCGACCACGUGACUCUAUUUUGGAGAAGAUGCAUGCAUACACAGUAACGAAUUUAAAACCGGAUACAUCGGUGACAAGUUAUUAUAAACUUAUUAAAAAGUUGUUAAUAUUUCUAACGCUAGAAGUAAAAGGUUUUUUGCGAAUUAAGAAGGGAAUAAAAAUAAAUAAAAUUU